GAUGAACGCUGGCGGCGUGCCUAAUACAUGCAAGUCGAGCGAACGGACGAGAAGCUUGCUUCUCUGAUGUUAGCGGCGGACGGGUGAGUAACACGUGGAUAACCUACCUAUAAGACUGGGAUAACUUCGGGAAACCGGAGCUAAUACCGGAUAAUAUUUUGAACCGCAUGGUUCAAAAGUGAAAGACGGUCUUGCUGUCACUUAUAGAUGGAUCCGCGCUGCAUUAGCUAGUUGGUAAGGUAACGGCUUACCAAGGCAACGAUGCAUAGCCGACCUGAGAGGGUGAUCGGCCACACUGGAACUGAGACACGGUCCAGACUCCUACGGGAGGCAGCAGUAGGGAAUCUUCCGCAAUGGGCGAAAGCCCGACGGAGCAACGCCGCGUGAGUGAUGAAGGUCUUCGGAUCGUAAAACUCUGUUAUUAGGGAAGAACAUAUGUGUAAGUAACUGUGCACAUCUUGACGGUACCUAAUCAGAAAGCCACGGCUAACUACGUGCCAGCAGCCGCGGUAAUACGUAGGUGGCAAGCGUUAUCCGGAAUUAUUGGGCGUAAAGCGCGCGUAGGCGGUUUUUUAAGUCUGAUGUGAAAGCCCACGGCUCAACCGUGGAGGGUCAUUGGAAACUGGAAAACUUGAGUGCAGAAGAGGAAAGUGGAAUUCCAUGUGUAGCGGUGAAAUGCGCAGAGAUAUGGAGGAACACCAGUGGCGAAGGCGACUUUCUGGUCUGUAACUGACGCUGAUGUGCGAAAGCGUGGGGAUCAAACAGGAUUAGAUACCCUGGUAGUCCACGCCGUAAACGAUGAGUGCUAAGUGUUAGGGGGUUUCCGCCCCUUAGUGCUGCAGCUAACGCAUUAAGCACUCCGCCUGGGGAGUACGACCGCAAGGUUGAAACUCAAAGGAAUUGACGGGGACCCGCACAAGCGGUGGAGCAUGUGGUUUAAUUCGAAGCAACGCGAAGAACCUUACCAAAUCUUGACAUCCUUUGACAACUCUAGAGAUAGAGCUUUCCCCUUCGGGGGACAAAGUGACAGGUGGUGCAUGGUUGUCGUCAGCUCGUGUCGUGAGAUGUUGGGUUAAGUCCCGCAACGAGCGCAACCCUUAAGCUUAGUUGCCAUCAUUAAGUUGGGCACUCUAAGUUGACUGCCGGUGACAAACCGGAGGAAGGUGGGGAUGACGUCAAAUCAUCAUGCCCCUUAUGAUUUGGGCUACACACGUGCUACAAUGGACAAUACAAAGGGCAGCGAAACCGUGAGGUCAAGCAAAUCCCAUAAAGUUGUUCUCAGUUCGGAUUGUAGUCUGCAACUCGACUACAUGAAGCUGGAAUCGCUAGUAAUCGUAGAUCAGCAUGCUACGGUGAAUACGUUCCCGGGUCU
rnacentral:rRNA from 1 species